rnacentral:rRNA from 1 species
AGGACGAACGCUGGCGGCGUGCUUAACACAUGCAAGUCGAGCGGAAAGGCCCUUCGGGGUACUCGAGCGGCGAACGGGUGAGUAACACGUGAGUAAUCUGCCCCUAGCUCUGGGAUAGCUCCGGGAAACCGGGAUUAAUACCGGAUACGACCACCUUAGACAUCUUUUGUGGUGGAAAGAAUUUCGGCUAGGGAUGAGCUCGCGGCCUAUCAGCUUGUUGGUGGGGUAACGGCCUACCAAGGCGACGACGGGUAGCCGGCCUGAGAGGGCGACCGGCCACACUGGGACUGAGACACGGCCCAGACUCCUACGGGAGGCAGCAGUGGGGAAUAUUGCGCAAUGGGCGAAAGCCUGAUGCAGCGACGCCGCGUGAGGGAUGAAGGCCUUCGGGUUGUAAACCUCUUUCGACAGGGACGAAGCGCAAGUGACGGUACCUGGAGAAGAAGCGCCGGCCAACUACGUGCCAGCAGCCGC